GUUGCGCGUUGUGCACGCUUUUUGGUUGUUGCACGGCGUCCGGCUGUUUUACGCGAAGACAUGUUUGUAUUCCUAAAAUUAUGAAUAAAAAAGACAAUUACAUCAUUUAAUUCAUAUUUUUUACAAUUAAUUUAGGAUAUCACGACGUAACCAAAAUCAGGAUAAAAAUAAGAUCGUCUGCGUGACGGUUCAACAAAGAGGACAUUACACUCUACAUCUAUAGAAAUCUAUAUAAAAAUACAUAUCCGUGAUACAGUUCAAUUUGAAUUUUAAACUAUAAUUUAAAUAACAAAAUUGGAACACUAGAAUCUGCUGCACACUCGUUUGAACAGAAUUUUCGCUCAGCUAUAUUCGAACAGGCUAUAUUUGACUUUUAAUAAACAUUUAUUGGUUAUAAUUGGAACUCUUAUAAAAUUGCUAUACAAAGAACGUCAUUGUUUUUAAAGGACAAAAGAUUGUUUUCAUAUCUGCAAAUCAGUCAUUGGAAGUUUUCAUAUUGAAACGUUAAAGUACACAAACGAAUUUCUACCAACCUGAUUAAUAGCAGCUACGAAAUGAGAAGAACUCCAAAAAGUGUACAGCACAGAUACUCGUGCACCACUGUGACUCACGUUACGCGUCACUCUAUGGUUAUUCACCACACCCGGGUAAGUAACGCCAUCUAGUGAAGGAUCAUUUAUCCAUUACACGAGCCUUUUCUAGACAUCCAAAAAUUAGGCCACAUGCAACGAAAAAAAAGAGGAUUACGAUGACCGAUCUUUUCUUCCAUAUUUAAAAUCCGUUAGUGCAAUGAAUAUAAUUAUUUUAAAUUCCACAUAUAAAAAUUCCUAUUAUAAGAAUAAUAAUCGUUCUUAAUUUUUACCUUUGCAAAUUACAAUGGAUGUUAUUUGAUAUUGCUUUGAAAACGGUCGAAUUUAUUUAUAUAUUUUAUAAUAACCGACAUAAUAAAUUAAUUGCGUGUACUAAAAACGUUGGUUUAUCCUCGAAAGGAUACGUCAUUACAGGUACCUUAGUUGGAGUAAAUCGUUGACGGUGAAAUCAUUACCUUAUAAGGCAAUGAAAGAAUCCGAUAUAUACACAUGUAGUUGACAUUCAUUUCGUAAUCAUAUUUACAGUAUAUCUGGCAAAUAAUGAUACUGAAACGCAUUGAUCCGAAUUGAAACUAUUUACAAAAGCGUUAUAACUAUAUUUUUGGUAUGUACUUCCCGUAAAGAUAUAACAAAAUAUAAAAUAAAACAAGAGA